rnacentral:rRNA from 1 species
ACACGUGAUUCAGAGUUUGAUCCUGGCUCAGGAUGAACGCUGGCGGCGUGCUUAACACAUGCAAGUCGAACGAAGCACCUUGAUUUCUUUGGAAUGAUUGGUGACUGAGUGGCGGACGGGUGAGUAACGCGUGGGUAACCUGCCUCACACAGGGGGAUAACAGUUAGAAAUGACUGCUAAUACCGCAUAAGACCACAGUACCGCAUGGUACAGUGAUAAAAACUCCGGUGGUGUGAGAUGGACCCGCGUCUGAUUAGCUAGUUGGUGAGGUAACGGCCCACCAAGGCGACGAUCAGUAGCCGACCUGAGAGGGUGACCGGCCAUAUUGGGACUGAGACACGGCCCAA